UUGGGUUCAAUUCUUGCGUUUCUAUGCUUUUCCUUUGUGUGGGUUUUCUCCCACAGUCCCUGGCAGUCGGGUAGGUUAACUAACUGGUUUCUGGGAAAACUGGUCCUGGAGUGAGCGCGUCUGUGUCUGCGCUACAAUGGACUGGUGUCCCGUCCAGGGCGUAGCCGGUCAUGCGCCAGGGCCAUCGUGACCCUGAACUGGAUUAGCAGCUAUUGCAAGUGAGGUGAUACUGUAACGAAAUGUUGUUUUUCCUCUUAUCUGAAAUACAACUGCGAAAUUGUGAUUUUCCGUUUACGAUCCACGGACAUUUCUAAAAUACAGUGCACUGUCUACAUUUCGCUGUAUUCGACACUAGAAUAAACCCUCGUCGUUAUGUAGUCAGUAAAGAGUCAGGUCCUCGCACGGAAAUUCCUGUGAAGAGAUCGCGCUCCGUGGAGCUGCUGCUUCACCGUCUAGGGCUGUAGCUGUGGAAGCACAGCGGGCUGAGCUCAUGAAGAUUCAAUGGUCAGUGUAGAAAAUUAGAGCUGUUAAGCACUACUUAUUUGAAAUAAAACUGCUUGGGGUUUAAUCAUUCAUUCGAAAUCACCCAGUACUCAGCGUUUGAUCCAUCUUUACAUCGCUUGCAGCGGCGACUCCUGUGCUGCUCGGAGAGAAUGAGGAUCAAGCACUCAUCUUCUGACGCACGACACAAGGACUGCGGUACCUCACAGGCGGAACACAGACUGACAUCACCCUGAUAUCACUGCGGCCUUCAAAUAUCAGGACAGGAAUCCCAAUCACAUCAACUUACACAACACAAAGCAAACUCUUGCCCCUCCACAGGAGGGGAAAUAAGCAGGCAUUAUUCUUUUUGACUUUUGUUUUUGAUUUGCACUCACAUGAGAGUCCUUCUCUAUUAAUAAGCCUUAUGAACAACGUAACCAGUGUUUCCAGUUUUUAGUAAUUUUUUGUAGUUUCUUUUACCCAUUAAACUUUUGCACCACU